rnacentral:rRNA from 1 species
GACGAACGCUGGCGGCGUGCUUAACACAUGCAAGUCGAACGGAAAGGCCCUGCAUUUGUGGGGUGCUCGUGUGGCGAACGGGUGAGUAACACGUGAGUAACCUGCCCUUUACUUUGGGAUAACUUCAGGAAACUGGGGCUAAUACCGGAUAUGAGCUCCUUCUGCAUGGUGGGUGUUGUAAAGUUUCGGCGGUUGGGGAUGGACUCGCGGCUUAUCAGCUUGUUGGUGGGGUAGUGGCUUACCAAGGCUUUGACGGGUAGCCGGCCUGGGAGGGUGACCGGCCACAUUGGGACUGAGAUACGGCCCAGACUCCUACGGGAGGCAGCAGUGGGGAAUAUUGCACAAUGGGCGGAAGCCUGAUGCAGCAACGCCGCGUGCGGGAUGACGGCCUUCGGGUUGUAAACCGCUUUCGCCUGUGACGAAGCGUGAGUGACGGUAAUGGGUAAAGAAGCACCGGCUAACUACGUG